AACGCGAAAGCCCCGCAAGGGGUAAGUAGAGUGGCAAACGGGUGAGUAACGCGUGGGUGACCUACCUUCGAGUGGGGGAUAACGUCUCGAAAGGGACGCUAAUACCGCAUGACAUCCUGCUUUUGAACAGGUGGAGAUCAAAGUCGGGUCGCAAGAUCUGGCGCUUGAAGAGGGGCCCACGUCCGAUUAGCUAGUUGGUGAGGUAAUGGCCCACCAAGGCGACGAUCGGUAGCCGGCCUAAGAGGGCGGACGGCCACACUGGGACUGAGACACGGCCCAGACUCCUACGGGAGGCAGCAGUGGGGAAUUGUUCGCAAUGGGCGCAAGCCUGACGACGCAACGCCGCGUGGAGGAUGAAGAUCUUCGGGUCGUAAACUCCUGUCGAGUGGGACGAAUGAUCCGCGACCUAAUACGUCGCGGAAGUGACGGUACCGCUAGAGGAAGCCCCGGCUAACUCCGUGCCAGCAGCCGCGGUAAUACGGGGGGGGCAAGCGUUGUUCGGAAUUACUGGGCGUAAAGGGCUCGUAGGCGGCCAACUAAGUCAGACGUGAAAUCCCUCGGCUUAACCGGGGAACUGCGUCUGAUACUGGAUGGCUUGAGAUUGGGAGAGGGAUGCGGAAUUCCAGGUGUAGCGGUGAAAUGCGUAGAUAUCUGGAGGAACACCGGUGGCGAAGGCGGCAUCCUGGACCAACACUGACGCUGAGGAGCGAAAGCCAGGGGAGCAAACGGGGAUAGAUA
rnacentral:rRNA from 1 species